rnacentral:rRNA from 1 species
CGCUGGCGGCGUGCCUAAUACAUGCAAGUCGAACGCACUCUCGUUUAGAUUGAAGGAGCUUGCUCCUGAUUGAUAAACAUUUGAGUGAGUGGCGGACGGGUGAGUAACACGUGGGUAACCUGCCCUAAAGUGGGGGAUAACAUUUGGAAACAGAUGCUAAUACCGCAUAAAACCUAACACCGCAUGGUGUGGGGUUGAAAGAUGGUUUCGGCUAUCACUUUAGGAUGGACCCGCGGUGCAUUAGUUAGUUGGUGAGGUAAAGGCUCACCAAGACCGUGAUGCAUAGCCGACCUGAGAGGGUAAUCGGCCACACUGGGACUGAGACACGGCCCAGACUCCUACGGGAGGCAGCAGUAGGGAAUCUUCCACAAUGGACGAAAGUCUGAUGGAGCAACGCCGCGUGAGUGAAGAAGGUUUUCGGAUCGUAAAACUCUGUUGUUGGAGAAGAAUGUAUCUGAUAGUAACUGAUCAGGUAGUGACGGUAUCCAACCAGAAAGCCACGGCUAACUACGUG